ensembl:antisense
AACAACUCUCCAAACACUGACAAAGGCAGCUGAGGACAGCUGAGGACCGGAAGGCUACAUACAGACACCACUGGCCACUUCCCCAAGCAUGCGGGCACCAAUGUAAACACUUAUUUAGUACCCUGGUACUAAAGGAGGGUUAAGCCUCCACAGUUGCUAUGGCUGAGAAACAAACCAUCAAGGACCAGGGAGAAAAGAGACAUCAGCUGCAGAAGGGCAUGAUUUCUGUCAUCCCUGAAUCCAGCGCCUAGAAACGUGGCUGACGCAGAGGAAUCCCAGUAGAUGUUUGUCAGACCAACUGACUAUGCACACAGACCUUGGAAAAGCACCUGAGGGGAAGUGAGUGUUCAACAGCACUGGGAUGACUGGCAUUACGGUGCUUCCAAGACCUUGGCUGCCUUUGGGAGCAGCUCUGCUACUCUCAGCCAGUGCCCCUUUAAGGCCGCAGAGUCCCCCAGCCUCCAAAGCCUGCUUAUACCAUUUUCUGUUCUAUCACCUUGCACACGGCCUAGAUUAAGCUUCUCGGCAACUAAGAACAAACCUAUGCAUAUAAUUUAGUCUCCGAAGGAAGUGUUGAGACAGGGAAGGACCGGAUGUAGACUACAUGUAUGUGUGUAGAGGCAUGUAGACUCUGAACUCGACACCAGUGACCUUGCUUUUGGUGGUGACAGAAAGUUAUUACCCACUGUGUCAGGAAUUCUGUGAAGUUAUCUCCACACUCUUGGCCUUGCUUUGGGUGGUGUUUCACUAUGUGUAUUAUACGGCCCACGCCAAGCCAGCCAGUGUUGACUGCUGCUACCUACAAUAAUGUACUGCCGUACGUAUACGGUGCUGAUUUUGUUAUGAAAGUCAGAUGAAUAAACAAACUGUACGAUGAUCAGCCAGUUUUUGCCCAACCUUACAAUAGAUAUAAAAUAUUGGCACAAGAGUAAAAACUUCCUAUAUAUGUAUAUAUAUAUAUAGUCUGUAGUGUCAAUUGAGAUAUAGAAUCUUAGGAUUUGCAAACUCUCACACACCCGAGAAAUCACUUCUUUCUGAGAUGACUUGAGUUCUCCUAUAACUAGUGGCUGUGCUUAUCAUGAAAUGUCACAAACUGAGCAUAGGAGAUCCUGUUACCCCACAAGAAGCAGACGGACAUCACUGAUGUUUGACAUUAUGCAUGGCAGUUCUGUCAAACCCUCGGCUGGAGAGGAGGUUCAUUUGAACACACAUACACUCACGUGUAUGCACACAUCAGAAUCUGUGACAAGCACUGAAGUGCGGCAUAGUGUUAAGGAAUCAAUCUUUUCCUUGGAUCAGCCAGACUGACAUGUUUUGGACAAGCUAGGAGAGCCUCCAGCUGAACUAGCGCAGUCCUUCUAUUUCCAAUGACACUCCAGCUAUGUAAAUACUUCAUCCAAAGUCACGGUAGUCAGAAAGCAGGAAGGAACAGAGCUCCCAUUAGCAGUUCCCACCGUCCACGAAGGGACAGAACUGUGAUGGAGCACUGACAUUCAUUUCAUGUUGAAUUAAACACGGCACUGGCGUGCGUCUCAGGAGACGAUAUUAAGUUCCGUGUUUGGGUAAUACCAGGAAUUCUACAGGCAGGGGCAGAAUUAUAUUUGGCUGGCUAGAAGCCAACCAUACUUUGCACUUGUCCUAGAAGUAGGUGGUCAAAAACUCAGUUCUUGUCAUCAGACCCACUAGCCACAGUUGCUUAAGUGAUCAGGGGAUGGGGGGGAGAAUCUCAAACACUUCUGUGGUACUCAUUUUGAAGAUAAAAUCGACACAGAGACAUCUGGACAUGAAGGGGACUUAAUGCGUACUGAGAGAGGUUCAGUUAGAACUGAGCUUGGGAAAAGCAGGUUCAGGCAGACAUCAUAACACAGGGACAAAGCAGCAUUGGGUUUCCCACACAGCAUCAUCAGAGACUGAAGACAAACACUGCCACACACAUGAACCAUUUUCCUCUUCCAGAAAAGAAAGUCUUAGAAACCAAGACAGAGAGGAGGUAUGUUCCCGGCUCUCUCUGCUCUCUUUAAAACACAUGCUGUAAAUUUUCUAGGCCUCACAGUGUGCGUUUCAAAAGAUACCUUCACGUUCGGUGGAGGGAAAAGCGGGACUCUCGGUGCAUCUGGUUUUCCUGUAAUGGUAUAUAAUGCCCCUCUCUAAUAAAUCUAACCACAUUUUUCUU